UAGGCGUAAAUAGAUGCGAGUUAAGUGUGGGGGCAUCUACGAGAUGGCCCUGUGCUGUAGGGUAGCCGUUAAACUCGCUGUCUGGGGAGUACGGUCGCAAGGCUGAAACUUAAAGGAACUUGGCGGGGGAGCACCACAACGGGUGGAGCCUGCGGUUUAAUUGGACUCAACGCCGGGAAGCUCACCGGAUAAGACAGCGGAAUGAUUGCCGGGCUGAAGACCCUGCAUGACCAGCUGAGAGGAGGUGCAUGGCGUAGUCGUGU
rnacentral:rRNA from 1 species